UGAACGGUGUUGCCGACCGGUUCGGCGGCAGGAUCGUUGGCAUCGACCCCGGCGCCGGGAUCAUGACCCGGACCGAGCAG
rnacentral:tRNA from 1 species